rnacentral:lncRNA from 1 species
ACAGAUGAUUCCGAGAAGUUAACUAACUUCCUGGAGUCAUUCAGCUUAUGAAGAGCAGAGCUAAGACGUAGGCCUGGAUCUAUUUGACUCCAGAGGGAGUGUUUGUAGAUCCUGCGUGUUUGCACGCGGGGAGAUGGAGGCCACGGGCUCCAGACCAUCCUUAUCCAGAGCCACGAAGAGAGCACAUUAGUGAGCUGCUAUCGCAGAGCACGCAGCAGAGGAGUUUGUGGGUAUCAGGUGUGCUAAGGAGCUCUUGUUUGUUUUUUAUUACUCAGCUGUAGCAGAGGUCAUUGCUACGCAUCCUCUCAGGCCCUCUCUCUACGUGCUGAAGGCGGUUUGCUGUGAAUACUUGGGUUCUCGGCUUGAAGGCUAUUUUCCUGGUUGUGUGAGGAUGUUUGAUCGCUGCCCGUUGGAAAGGUGGGAUGCCACCCCUGCAUGGCUUGAUGAGCAGUGUGUAGGUCUGCGCCGAGGAUUUGACCCCGCAAAACCCAGGCUGCCAAAGCGGAGUGCACAAACUUAACCACUACGCCACUGGGCUGGCCCCUGUUUCAAGGCGGCCCAGUGUUUCGUUGGUUCGAAUCCUGGGCGCGGACAUGGGACUGCUCAUCAAACCACGCUGAGGCAGCGUCCCACAUGCUACAACUAGAAGGACUCACAACGAAGAAUAUACAACUAUGUACUGGGGGGCUUUGGGGAGAAAAAGGAAAAAAUAAAAUUAAAAAAA